UACGGGGGGGGCAAGCGUUGUUCGGAAUUACUGGGCGUAAAGGGCUCGUAGGCGGCCAACUAAGUCGGAUGUGAAAUCCCCAGGCUCAACUUGGGAACUGCAUCCGAUACUGGAUGGCUUGAAUCCGGGAGAGGGAUGCAGAAUUCCAGGUGUAGCGGUGAAAUGCGUAGAUAUCUGGAGGAACACCGGUGGCGAAGGCGGCAUCCUGGACCAAUAUUGACGCUGAGGAGCGAAAGCCAGGGGAGCAAACGGG
rnacentral:rRNA from 1 species